GACAUGCAAAUUACUGCUGGGGAUUAGAGGAAACCUGCGCACAGCCUUUGGUUCAUGUUAAUCCCUUUUAGAUGAUAGGGAAGUCUAGACCACCCGUUCGCUGCCCAGUUAGAGUUGGCCCUAGGGCUCCAUCCUUCUCCUUUGCUUCCCCGCCUUCUUCAUCCUGGAGUUUAGGGAGCAGGUAAGCUCUCGGUAGACCAGCCAACCCUUUGGCCUAUAGAAUGUCUCGUAUCCAGUAUACUCCUCAGAAACUAGCUUUCUGUUCGCUCUGAGAGAGUUUUUGUCUUUGCAAAGGAUGUGGCUUUUUCAGCUUCCACUGGUCCAGGAGCCUUGGAACCCUGCCAGGACCUGCAAGCCCACACCCCUUCUCACCCAGGUCAAGUGACAGCGAUGCACAAAGCCAAGAGAUUAGCAGCUUGCUGGUUGUGGGGUACUGGGUGGGACAGAAACCCCAACAAGCAGGCCCCCUCAUGUUACAACAGAGGACAGUCUUUCUGCCUUACUAAGACGGAAGAAGCCUCACUCUCUUCAAGAUGGACUGUGGGCUCCCAGUGAGAGGAAAGCCCCCCAGCCAUCCCGCCGUCAGAGUGAACUGUCAAGAACAGACACAAAGGUUCUGCUGAGCUCUGAUCGCCUCCAAACUCAGCUAGGACAGUGACAACUGUCGUCGCUGAAACCCAUCAGAAGCUGACAAGCUACUCCUUCUAGUCGGGCAGCUAGCAGGUAGAGCAUGUCAUAAGAAAACCAACCUCGGCGGCAACAAAAGUGCACUGGUGAUAUUGUUCUUCCAUCCCAUGUAGGACCCUGAAAAGCAACCGUCGAACACAAUCGGCCUUCAAAUGCACUGCAGCAAUGUGACCAAGUUAGGGGCUGACAGCUGAUUAAACUAAGAUCGUUUUAAACUUCAACCAUGGAAACCAAAGCAAGGAAUCUCGAAGAAUGAUGUUAAACCCUUCUUCUUCUCGACCAGGGAUGUCUUAGAGGUCAGGGUCAAACAGAUCCUUGACCAAGCCAAACCCAAAGAAGAAUUGUAAGGCAAAAUGUCAACUCUUGCCCAAUGCUUGCUGCUAAAGAAAUUCUUCAAGACCCUGGAAUCUUAAGUAAUUUCUUUUCAACCCAUAGCAUGUGGCCUGCGUUUGCAAUCUAGAACUUAAAUUGGGUUCUUGCUUGUCGUCAGAAGAUCCCAACAAACAAGAGAGGUCAUAAAUAGACUGGGGGAACAACAGGGAACUGGAUAGUUUUAAUAUUUUUCCUCUAAAACGGAAAGGAAAGACACCAGCUGACACGGAUCUCUCAAAUCCGGCCAGCAACUUCUUGGACUAUGUCUAAUUGUGAUUUGCAUGGUGGGGUUUUAUUUGUUUUAUUGCCCAAAUUCUAAGGUUCCAAUUUCCCAGUCUAAUGCUAAACAGCUUGCUGGCACUCUGUGGCUAAGAGGGGUUCCACAGAGCCAGUGAAUUUUGGACUCGGGAAGAAAAAUGAAUCAAAUCAUCUCAUUUCAAUAAGCUAAGGCCAGAGAACUGAGGUGUCAAGAAGAGCUUUGAAGCUUCAGACUGUGGGUGGACCUGGCUCUCCUUCCUGCGUGUGCCAUCAGGACAGGGUUUCUUAACCUAGCCAUCUUAGUUUCUUCAAUUACAAAAUGAAGAUAAGAAUACAACCCUUUGGGUUAUUGAGGAGGGAUAUACAAAAGAAAAAUAUUUAGCUGCAUUCUUAUACAUACUUAAAAUGGUCAAUAAAUUAUUUUAUUGCUUUUUCAUCAGCAGUACCUGGCAUUUGCUGUUAGUAAGAAAGAUGGGUUUUAGUAUAGUUAUUAUAUUAGUACUAUUUUUACAGAUUGAGGUAGCAGAGGUUACUUAUUUAAAAAGUAGAUGUAGUAGUGCAUAUUUUUAAUCCCAGGAUGCAGAGGCAGGCAGAUCUCUGUGAGUUUCAGGCAAGCCACUGAGGACUUGUUUGGGAAAAAAAAAAGGAAGGCGAGAAAGAAAGAGGGGGAGAUAGAGGCUUAGAACCCCAUGAUCUAAAAUCUAAAUAAAUAACAUUUAAGUCAUCCAAAAUAUUAAUCCCAUUUAGGAUCACAGACUGAAUAUCCUUAGUCAGGAAUUUUUUGCAGAAGAGCCACAGUUUCCCAUUCUAGGCACUGAGUAUGCAUACAACCAAGAAACAAGCAUAUUCUUAUAGCUCCAACAGAGCUCUUGGAAAGACUGUAGCUGCUGUCACACAAACAUACAAGCCAGGAACUAUUGUAGCAGCUUCCUGAGUUGAAUGUGUGUGUGUGUGUGUGUGUGUGUGUGUGUGUGUGUAAAACGCAUAUCCACGUUUUGUGGAGUAACACUUAUACUAACUAUUUAUGGAUACAGGGAAGCUAGUUGGCUGCUCUGGAAAGCAUUGCAAAGGUUCCUGUUUCCUUGGACUUCCAUUUUUGUAGCUGUCAUUGCUUUUGAUCUGACGUCGGGGCACCCAAACUAUGAAGCACACAUGAACUGAAUGGCACAGUUCUGGUUACAAAGCAGCUCCAGAUCUACCAUGGCCAUGUGAGGAUGAUGCUACCAGUCUCAGGAUCUCACUCAGCAGCAUUGCAGGACUCACCUGAAUACACUUUGGGUCAUGUCUACUAAGAUGGGUACUUAGGAAGCAGAGUCACCUGGGAAACAGAAGCAAAGACAUCUGCUGAGACUGAGCACAAGGCUGCACACUAUAGAUGCAAGGCACACCUGGCCAGAAAGAAAUGCACAAGAGAAGCGCCGAGUCUCCUUGCCAAAGGAUGGCCUAGGCCUCGGUCUUGCCCAAGAAACAGGCUAGUUCCUUAGCCUCUGAUAACCUCAAGAAACUGAAGCCCUCAGGAUCCUUUAAGUGAUUCCAGGACAGAGGAUAUAGGAAGAUUCCAGGACAGGGGACCAGAAUGGCAACAGAUCCCUCCACAGUAACAGGAGUCCUUUAAAGACCUCCACCCAGAGGUACCAAAAGAUGAUUUUGAAGACUGACUUGCCCCGAUUAUUAAGACUCACAGUCUAAAAAAAAAAAAAAAAAAAAAAAAAAAAAAACCUCUUUGAACUGGUUUUGCAAACUUUCCUGCUUCUAGAUUUUUUUGUUUGUUUGCUUUUUGUUGUUGUUUUUUUUUAAAAAAGCCAACAAAAGAGAAAAUCAUAUUUCCCCAUGAAAGGUAGACUCCUGAUUGGCACUAAAAGUUCCUUGUCUUACGCCCACCAAGUGAUGGCUCAGUUUCCCCUGGAGGUUCAGGAACCACUCCUACACCAUGGGGCCAUCAAAUCCAUCACCUUCUGCUACAAGGAAGAAAAAAAUGAUCACAAACAUUCUUCCCUCUCCCCAACUCUGCUCGAGACCCUGUUUUGUUUGGUGUUACUAGAAUUCAGAAAACAUUCAUAGACUGUAUCACACCAUUUAAAAUUGUAUUGUCUUUUAUUUUCAA